CCUUGCGCUAUCAGAUGAGCCUAGGUCGGAUUAGCUAGUUGGUGAGGUAAUGGCUCACCAAGGCGACGAUCCGUAACUGGUCUGAGAGGAUGAUCAGUCACACUGGAACUGAGACACGGUCCAGACUCCUACGGGAGGCAGCAGUGGGGAAUAUUGGACAAUGGGCGAAAGCCUGAUCCAGCCAAGGCGCGUGUGUGAAGAAGGUCUUCGGAUUGUAAAUCAAUGGAGUUGGGAGGAAGGGCAGUUACCUAAUAC
rnacentral:rRNA from 1 species